rnacentral:rRNA from 1 species
CCUACGGGAGGCAGCAGUAGGGAAUCUUCCACAAUGGACGAAAGUCUGAUGGAGCAACGCCGCGUGAGUGAAGAAGGGUUUCGGCUCGUAAAGCUCUGUCGGUAGUGAAGAAAGAUAGAGGUAGUAACUGGCCUUUAUUUGACGGUAAUUACUUAGAAAGUGAGGGCUAACUACGUGCCAGCAGCCGCGGUAAUACGUAGGUGGCAAGCGUUGUCCGGAUUUAUUGGGCGUAAAGCGAGUGCAGGCGGUUCAAUAAGUCUGAUGUGAAAGCCUUCGGCUCAACCGGAGAAUUGCAUCAGAAACUGUGGAACUUGAGUGCAGAAGAGGAGAGUGGAACUCCAUGUGUAGCGGUGGAAUGCGUAGAUAUAUGGAAGAACACCAGUGGCGAAGGCGGCUUUCUGGUCUGCAACUGACGCUGAGGCUCGAAAGCAUGGGUAGCGAACAGGAUUAGAUACCCUUGUAGUC